GAAGGGGCCGGCGGCCACCCCUGGGCCCAGCCCCGGCCUCCCCUUGUAUGCCCCCAGCCCCCCACCAAUGCCCUCCCCUGCCCCUGGUGGGUCAGAGAUCUCCUGGAGGCUACAGGGAGCAAAGGCGAUGCCCGCAGGUGGCGAGCGUGUUCUCAGGAGCAGGUGGGCAGGGGCCUUGCAGACUCUUCAUUUCUUCCUUCCCUUAUCACCGUUAGCCAUUUUCAUGGGAUAGAGAUACAGAGGAGCUCCCAUUACAAAGCGCCAUUAAACUGUCGUCUGUGCAACUGUG
ensembl:lncRNA novel transcript